GUCCACGCCCUAAACGAUGCUCACUAGGUGUUGGGGAAGCGAUUCCUUGGUACCGUAGCUAACGCGUGAAGUGAGCCGCCUGGGGAGUACGGCCGCAAGGUUAAAACUCAAAGGAAUUGACGGGGACCCACACAAGCGGUGGAUGAUGUGGAUUAAUUAGAUGCAACGCGAACAACCUUACCUACCAUUGACAUGUCCGAGAGCCUGCUGAAAGGUGGGUGUGCCUGAAAGGGAAUCGGAACACAGGUGCUGCAUGGCUGUCGU
rnacentral:rRNA from 1 species